rnacentral:rRNA from 1 species
UGGGGAAUAUUGGACAAUGGGCGAAAGCCUGAUCCAGCCAUGCCGCGUGUGUGAAGAAGGUCUUCGGAUUGUAAAGCACUUUAAGUUGGGAGGAAGGGCAGUAAGCGAAUACCUUGCUGUUUUGACGUUACCGACAGAAUAAGCACCGGCUAACUCUGUGCCAGCAGCCGCGGUAAUACAGAGGGUGCAAGCGUUAAUCGGAAUUACUGGGCGUAAAGCGCGCGUAGGUGGUUCGUUAAGUUGAAUGUGAAAGCCCCGGGCUCAACCUGGGAACUGCAUCCAAAACUGGCGAGCUAGAGUAGGGCAGAGGGUGGUGGAAUUUCCUGUGUAGCGGUGAAAUGCGUAGAUAUCGGAAGGAACACCAGUGGCGAAGGCGACCACCUGGGCUCAUUCUGACACUGAGGUGCGAAAGCGUGGGGAGCAAACAGG